GAUGAACGCUGGCGGCGUGCUUAACACAUGCAAGUCGAGCGGUGAAGGCGGAGCUUGCUCUGCUGGAUCAGUGGCGAACGGGUGAGUAACACGUGAGCAAUCUGCCCCUGACUCUGGGAUAAGCGCUGGAAACGGCGUCUAAUACUGGAUACGAGCUGCGAAGGCAUCUUCAGCAGCUGGAAAGAAUUUCGGUCAGGGAUGAGCUCGCGGCCUAUCAGCUUGUUGGUGAGGUAAUGGCUCACCAAGGCGUCGACGGGUAGCCGGCCUGAGAGGGUGACCGGCCACACUGGGACUGAGACACGGCCCAGACUCCUACGGGAGGCAGCAGUGGGGAAUAUUGCACAAUGGGCGAAAGCCUGAUGCAGCAACGCCGCGUGAGGGACGACGGCCUUCGGGUUGUAAACCUCUUUUAGCAGGGAAGAAGCGAAAGUGACGGUACCUGCAGAAAAAGCGCCGGCUAACUACGUG
rnacentral:rRNA from 1 species